rnacentral:rRNA from 1 species
UUAUAUAUAAGGUAAUUUCUGCCCAAUGAUAAAGUUUAUUAAAUGGCUGCAGUAUAUUGACUGUACAAAGGUAGCAUAAUAAUUAGUUUUUUAAUUAGGAACUUGAAUGAAAGGAUAAAUGAGAGAUUUUCUUUAUUGAUUUUAUUAUUAAAAAUUUAUUUUUUAGUUAAAAAGCUAAAUUUUGUUUUAGGGACGAUAAGACCCUAUAGAACUUUAAAAUUUGUUUUAAUUAAAUUUUAUUUAGAAUUAAUUUAUUUAAUUAAUUAGAAUUUUUAAUUGGGGUGAUUAAUAAAUUUAAUUUUCUUUAUUUGUUUAAAUCAUUAAUUUAUGUUUAUUUAGAUCCUUUGUAAAGAUUAUAAGAUAAGUUACCUUAGGGAUAACAGCGUAAUUCUAAUAGAAAGUUCAUAUUUAAAUUAGAGUUUGCGACCUCGAUGUUGAAUUAAGAUAAAUUUAUGGUGUAGAAGCUUUAAGGUUAAGUCUGUUCGACUUUUAUAUUCUUACA